UACGUAGGGGGCGAGCGUUGUCCGGAUUUAUUGGGCGUAAAGAGCGUGUAGGCGGCCAGGUAGGUCUGCUGUGAAAACUCGAGGCUCAACCUCGAGACGUCGGCGGAAACCAUCUGGCUAGAGUCCGGAAGAGGAGAGUGGAAUUCCAGGUGUAGCGGUGAAAUGCGUAGAUAUCUGGAGGAACACCGGUGGCGAAGGCGGCAUCCUGGACCGGUAUUGACGCUGAGGCGCGAAAGCCAGGGGAGCAAACGGG
rnacentral:rRNA from 1 species